ACAGGUGCAAACUGGAGAGGCCUAGAGAGCUAGAGAAGCAAGUAAGGGCCAGGGCCAGAGUCGGCUUCAAUGGAACAACAGCCCAGUGCCCUAAGGCCCCUAACUCUUGCUGGCUGUUUCUUGACCCCAAGCCAGGGUUGGGAGUCCUCUGGGCAUCCAUUUUUUCUAAAGGAACUGGACAGAGUACACACAGGAAAGGAAGCUGUCACCCUCUUGCCAUCUGGCUCCAGGGGCCUCCAGUCCAGCAUUCCUCCUUCUUCCCUUGAUUGGGUGGGGCCACAUGAUGGGCAGCCAGGCUCUGGGCUGUCCCACUAGAGCAGGCUGCAAACACAGCCAUGUUUCAGUGAGGCGUUGAUCUUCUUCCCUGGUGUCCCAACCUACCAGUGCCACGUUACAGCCCAGAGUGAGUUCUACAAGCGUUGCUGGCCUAAUGGAUGGGCUGGGGGAAGGGGGUGGGACAGGGGCUGGAGGAGGGGCUCUGGGGUCCAUCACGGCACAGGAACAACACGCAUGGUGUUGGUGAAGCCGGAGCCAGGGCGCCAUCCGGUCAGCACAAUGACCACAUCUCCCUUCUUGAAGAAGCCUCGGGCCUUGCCUGGAGGAAGAGAAGGGAGGUUGGUGAGUAAAAGCCAAGCCAGGCAGGUUUGCACCUGGGCAGCUGCCCCAUAGCCUGAGUACUGAACUAGGCUGGCUGACCACUACUUCCUCACACCACAAGGUGGCACCAAAC
rnacentral:lncRNA from 1 species